UACGAAGGGGGCUAGCGUUGUUCGGAUUUACUGGGCGUAAAGCGCACGUAGGCGGAUCGUUAAGUCGGGGGUGAAAUCCUGGAGCUCAACUCCAGAACUGCCUUCGAUACUGGCGAUCUUGAGUCCGGAAGAGGUGAGUGGAACUCCUAGUGUAGAGGUGGAAUUCGUAGAUAUCGGGAGGAACACCGGUGGCGAAGGCGGCGAUCUGGGUAGAUACUGACGCUGAGGUGCGAAAGCGUGGGGAGCAAACAGG
rnacentral:rRNA from 1 species